rnacentral:miRNA from 1 species
UGAUUUUGCUUCUUUCU